AGCGAACGCUGGCGGCAGGCCUAACACAUGCAAGUCGAGCGCCCGUAGCAAUACGGGAGCGGCAGACGGGAUAGUAACACGUGGGAACGUACCCUUCAGUUCGGAACAACCCAGGGAAACUUGGGCUAAUACCGAAUACGUCCGUAAGGAGAAAGAUUUAUCGCUGAAGGAUCGGCCCGCGUCUGAUUAGCUAGUUGGUGAGGUAAUGGCUCACCAAGGCGACGAUCAGUAGCGGUCUGAGAGGAUGAUCAGCAUCACUGGGACUGAGACACGGCCCAGACUCCUACGGGAGGCAGCAGUGGGGAAUAUUGGACAACGGGCGCAAGCCUGAUCCAGCCAUGCCGCGUGGAUGAUGAAGGCCCUAGGGUU
rnacentral:rRNA from 1 species